UGAGGAAUAUUGGUCAAUGGGCGUAAGCCUGAACCAGCCAUCCCGCGUGAAGGAAGAAGGCGCUAUGCGUUGUAAACUUCUUUUCCAGGGGAAUAAAAUGCAUUACGCGUAGUGCACUGAAGGUACCCUGGGAAUAAGCAUCGGCUAACUCCGUGCCAGCAGCCGCGGUAAUACGGAGGAUGCGAGCGUUAUCCGGAUGUAUUGGGUUUAAAGGGUGCGUAGGCGGAUUAAUAAGUCAGUGGUGAAAACCUGCAGCUUAACUGUGGAACUGCCAUUGAUACUGUUAGUCUUGAGUAUGGUCAAGGUAGGCGGAAUGUGUAAUGUAGCGGUGAAAUGCUUAGAUAUUACACAGAACACCGAUUGCGAAGGCAGCUUACUGGGCCGUUACUGACGCUGAGGCACGAAAGCGUGGGGAUCGAACAGG
rnacentral:rRNA from 1 species